rnacentral:rRNA from 1 species
UGAGAACUUUCCAGAGAUGGAUUGGUGCCUUCGGGAACUCAGACACAGGUGCUGCAUGGCUGUCGUCAGCUCGUGUCGUGAGAUGUUGGGUUAAGUUCCGUAACGAGCGCAACCCUUGUCCUUAGUUACCAGGACAUUAUGGUGGGCACUCUAAGGAGACUGCCGGUGACAAAACGGAGGAAGGUGGGGAUGACGUCAAGUCAUUAUGGCCCUUACGGCCGGGCUACACACCUGCUACAAUGGUCGGUACAAAGGGUUGCCAAGCCGCGAGGUGGAGCUAAUCCCAUAAAAC